UAGCGGCGGACGGGUGAUAACACGUGGAUAACCUACCUAUAAGACUGGGAUAACUCGGGAAACCGGAGCUAAUACCGGAUAAUAUAUUGAACCGCAUGGUUCAAUAGUGAAAGACGGUUUUGCUGUCACUUAUAGAUGGAUCCGCGCCGCAUUAGCUAGUUGGUAAGGUAACGGCUUACCAAGGCAACGAUGCGUAGCCGACCUGAGAGGGUGAUCGGCCACACUGGAACUGAGACACGGUCCAGACUCCUACGGGAGGCAGCAGUAGGGAAUCUUCCGCAAUGGGCGAAAGCCUGACGGAGCAACGCCGCGUGAGUGAUGAAGGUCUUCGGAUCGUAAAACUCUGUUAUUAGGGAAGAACAAAUGUGUAAGUAACUAUGCACGUCUUGACGGUACCUAAUCAGAAAGCCACGGCUAACUACGUGCCAGCAGCCGCGGUAAUACGUAGGUGGCAAGCGUUAUCCGGAAUUAUUGGGCGUAAAGCGCGCGUAGGCGGUUUUUUAAGUCUGAUGUGAAAGCCCACGGCUCAACCGUGGAGGGUCAUUGGAAACUGGAAAACUUGAGUGCAGAAGAGGAAAGUGGAAUUCCAUGUGUAGCGGUGAAAUGCGCAGAGAUAUGGAGGAACACCAGUGGCGAAGGCGACUUUCCGGUCUGUAACUGACGCUGAUGUGCGAAAGCGUGGGGAUC
rnacentral:rRNA from 1 species